CCACCUCGCUUGUUCCAAAGACCUUAGAGAAAGGUCAAGCUGACGCCAACGUUGUGUUCUACAAAGGUAAUGUUUGAACUUGGUCAUGUUUCAUUCGGGACUUGAUACUUCACAUUGAAAUAACUCCCGAGAGCCUUUCGACAUUUGCAAGACCGCACAACGUGAUCGAGCUUGAUCCGCUCAGCCCUCCGGCCAUUGAGGAUGUGGUGACGUAGGAAACCACUCCUAGCCUAGUGACUAGGACUUUAGUUGCCAAGGCAAUGACUCCUCCACGUGGCGCCGCCUCGUCUAGUGCAUCACUCAGAACUAGUCCGUCUAUUACGCCAACAACUCCUCAAAUGGCCAACAUCUUCCAGCUACCCCACAUCCUAGAGGAUCAAGAAGGUGCAUGCAAGGAGGCCUUAGACCAGGUGGGGCUGAUGCUCAAAUGACUGAAAGAGGCAUAUGUCACUGGUGAAACCUUUGAGAUGAACGUUCGGGUAAUUUCUUUUGUAAAUGUCGACUUCGGUUGGGAAUUUUCCCUAUUAAUUUUUCUUGUUUUUGAUCCCGAGUGGUUUACACAAAGCACACACACUAGGUGUUCGCUUCCAGUGGGGGCGCGCUAAGCGCACCCACUCGGUGUAGUCCCCGAGACUGGUACCGACUGAAUCCGUCAGCGGUAGUCUUCGAGUUACCAUUGUUGAAUUUUGCAGGAUUGUUUUUGUUGUUGACAAAAUGUAUGUGGUCCCGAGAGCUUCUAUGAUGCUAUGGAGUGGGAGGUGCAAGAUCUACGCCUCAGUCUUGAUGCUGAAAGGGCUAGGAGUGAGCGCCUGGAGUAGGAGAAACAUUCACUCAAAGUUACUAUGAAGGAGGCCCUUGAGAAGAGGGAUGAGGACCUGGCAUCUGCGUGGAAUUAAGCCAACCAGAAGAUCUAGGCGGCCGACGCCAAGCUCAAAUUAGUCGAAAUGUUCGAGGAGGAGAAACAACUCUUGGACAUUGUCACGAAGAAGUCCAUUGAAGAACUUGCCGAGAUGAAGAUGCGUUAAGCCGAGUGAGAGAGGAAGCUUGAGCAGGUCACCACCAAGAAGAUCGAGUUGGAGCAGUUUGUAGAGGACUUUGGCAAGGAUAUGAGCAAGAAACUCAAGGGUAUGUUGCGGAUCCGAGUAAUUUCCUAGAGUAUCUUUGCAAUUGCCGAGUGAUAUAUGAUGUUCUUUGUCCUUCAUUUGUGCUGAGCAUUAUGUGCCGACAUCAACAACGAGACCAAGAAGAUCGAGAAUGAGCUGAAUCCAAAGAGGGGGCUCUUCAAAGACAUCGCGAAUCUGGCUCUUCUCCGACUGGAGGACUGCAUCAAAUACUUGUUAGUCCGCUUCAUGUGGCUUCCGUCGGCUAUCUUGCAGAUUGACCAAGAGGUGACCCAUGGUGAGGAGUUCUCCAAGGAAAUUCCUAGCCAAGUGCAGUCUUGGAAGAAAUCAGCAGCCCAAGCUGGAGCAAACAUUGCCCUCUCGCUCGUCUGUAUACAUUACAAGGGAGUGGCGAAGAGACACUGAAGAACCUCAAGGUCGCCAAUAGGAAGAACGCCAAGUUUGAGGACUUAAAGGAGAUUUUCAUGGAGGCUGCCAUUCGGAUUGGUAAUGUGAUCGACCUGGACACCUUUGUGGAAGAUGUGGUUCCUUCGUUCUCCGAGUGAUUCUCGGAAAAAGACAUUAAAUUUAAUUUGCCUCGGUAUGCAGAGUGGUUGAUGUAACCUUUAAAUUUUGAGUGAGCCUUGGGCUCUCAUUAUCCGUACUUUAAUUUCAAAUCAGAACGCGAUUUCAUUUGCUAUGUUUUCAUUCGAAUUUGAGUCUUUGAACUAAUGAUGGUCCUGUCCAUCUUGACACCCGAGUGGGGGUUACACACA